AGCGAACGCUGGCGGCAGGCCUAACACAUGCAAGUCGAACGAACCCUUCGGGGUUAGUGGCGGACGGGUGAGUAACACGUGGGAACGUGCCUUUAGGUUCGGAAUAACUCAGGGAAACUUGUGCUAAUACCGAAUGUGCCCUUCGGGGGAAAGAUUUAUCGCCUUUAGAGCGGCCCGCGUCUGAUUAGCUAGUUGGUGAGGUAAUGGCUCACCAAGGCUACGAUCAGUAGCUGGUCUGAGAGGAUGACCAGCCACAUUGGGACUGAGACACGGCCCAAACUCCUACGGGAGGCAGCAGUGGGGAAUCUUGCGCAAUGGGCGGAAGCCUGACGCAGCCAUGCCGCGUGGAUGAUGAAGGUCUUAGGAUUGUAAAAUCCUUUCACCGGUGAAGAUAAUGACUGUAGCCGGAGAAGAAGCCCCGGCUAACUUCGUGCCAGCCGCCGCUGUAA
rnacentral:rRNA from 1 species